UAUUAAAAAUUACAUUCAUUUAUAUUAUUAAAAACUGCCAUAAUUGGUAGAAUAAUCAGGCAUUGGCAAAUGGUGUGCCACGUGUACCUUAUUCAGACAUAUAGAGAUCAGUUUUUAAUAGUAGAAAUAGAUAAAUUUUUUAACA
rfam:Gossypium raimondii Chr02_contig_1145, whole genome shotgun sequence.